CGGGAUGUAGCGCAGUUUGGCAGCGCGCCACGUUCGGGACGUGGAGGUCCAGGGUUCAAAUCCCUGCAUCCCGACCA
rnacentral:tRNA from 1 species